rnacentral:lncRNA from 12 species
CUAAAGAGAAAAAUCCUUAAUUCUUUGGGUGUCUAUAGCAGAACCAGCUGGAGACAAAGAGUGGACCCUUCUACUCUGCAUUUUCAUCACUGGAUCUGGGUCAUUUCCUCCUUUUCCAAAUGUGCUGCUUUCAAUCAUCUGGGCUAGCUCAGGCAUACCAAAUUGUUGUAUUACAGAUGAAGACAAAGAGGCUCUGGCUUAUGACUAAGCCAUAUGACUUAUGACCAUAUGACUAAUGAGAUGCUUGAGUAAUCCUCCUUCAUUAUGACCAUUCCAGCAAUUGAGCAUCUUCUCACCCCUCCAUUUUGUGACCACUUUAAGACUACUAGAAAAAGAAAGAGAAAGAAGUCACAGUAGACUGGAUAUACAACUACUUUUCAUUUUUCUUCUACCAUGUUUUACAUUCUCCCUCAGCCAGUCUUCCUGCCAGCAGCUCCGGACACCUCUAAAUCCCUGAGGCUGGAUGAAGAAGCUCCAGAGAAGAAAAUAGCCAGUCAAAAACACAGAAUCUCCUAG